rnacentral:rRNA from 1 species
GAGGACCAGAGUGGACGAACCUCUGGUGUACCGGUUGUGACGCCAGUCGCAUCGCCGGGUAGCUAUGUUCGGAAGGGAUAACCGCUGAAAGCAUCUAAGCGGGAAGCCUACCUCAAGAUAAGAUUUCCCUAGGACUUUAUGUCCUCUAAAGAGCCGUUCGAGACUAGGACGUUGAUAGGUUGGAUGUGGAAGCAUAGUGAUAUGUGAAGCUGACCAAUACUAAUUGCUCGUGAGGCUUGACUAUACAACACCCAAGCAGUUG